rnacentral:rRNA from 1 species
GCAAGUCGAACGGUAACAGUUCCUUCGGGAAGCUGACGAGUGGCGCACGGGUGCGUAACGCGUAUACAAUCUACCUUUUACAGGGGGAUAGCCUUUAGAAAUGAAGAUUAAUAUCCCAUAGUAAGUACUUAUGGCAUCAUAGGUACUUUAAAGUUACGGCGGUAAAAGAUGAGUAUGCGUUCUAUUAGCUAGAUGGAGUGGUAACGGCACCCCAUGGCAACGAUAGAUAGGGGCCCUGAGAGGGGGAUC